CUGCUUCUGCCCCGAUCUCUCUUUCCACCUACAGGGGAAGGAGAAGCGUGGGAGUAGAGAUGGGGGAUCCUUUUUAGGUGUUUGUGCUCAGCUGUCCCACUUUAUGUCCAAAUCUCCCACUGUUUCCGAGAGCUGAGAGUCCUGGAAAGGAUUCUAGGGGACUUGGCCUAUCUAUGAGAACAGGACCAGGAGCCUAAGGAAGCAGGAGGCCUGGAUUCUGGCCUUGGCUCCACCAGACUCCAGCUGAAUGACCCCAGGUAAGUCCCUGUUCUCCCCUGGGUCUGGCCUUUUUUGUUUUUUGUUUUUUUGGUUAAAUGGGGCUGGAUCAAGGAUUUGUGAGGUCCUGAUAGCUCUGAGGGUAGGGAUGGUUGGGGAGGGUGUAGCCUACCUUCUCUCCAGGUCCUGUAGUGUGUUGGGCAGCGGUAGCCCCAGGGUCUCUGGCAGGAGGACAAUGAUGGGGCAGGCAGCCACAAGGACCCCUCCAUAGAUGAAGAAAGGCAGGGAAGGGUAGAGCUCGGAGGUCAUGCCCACCAGUGGGCUUAGAAUGCUGCCUAUGUUGGCCACGGUGGUUGUCAUGCUCAGACCUCUCUGCCUGUGGGGAGGGAGAGCACCUUAGUGAUGCCUGUGAGGCUUGCGGGUACCCUAAUUCUGCCCACCAAUGGUGUUUCCUCUUUUCAUAUUCCCUACAGGGCCAAAUGCUUGCACUUACCUUGGCUAAAAGGAAAGUUGGAAGCAAAUAGUUUCGGAACCAGGAAGCCUGGGUUCUGGUUCCAAUUUGAACCUGCUCUAUAACUGAACAAGUCCCCACCCAACCACUCCCCCAAGCUCCAGAUGCUGUAUCUAGCUUCCUACUUAACAUCUUCAUUUUGGAUGUCUGUAAGGCCCCUCAAAUUUUACACGGCCAAGAACUCUUCUUUCUACUUCCAAGUAUGCACUUCACUCAGAUUUCCCCAUCCUGGCACAGGGCGCUUCUAACCACCCAGUUGUUCAAGCUCAAGUAUCUCAUAAUUAUUCCUGAUGCCUCCUGUUCUCUUAUUUCCCCACAUCCAAAAUAUGAAUUUGGGUGGCUCUUCUUCCAAAACACAUUCAGAAUCAGUUCCUCGUCUCCAUCUCCACAACCACUGCCCACCAGUUCAUGCCAAGCCAUUGUCACCUCUUUUUAUCUUUUUAAAGAUUUUUUUUUUUGGUGUGGACCACUUUUAAAGUCUUUUAUUGAAUUUGUUACAAUAUUGCUUCUGGCUUGUGUUUGGUUUUUUUUUUUUUGGCCACGAGACGUGUGGGAUCUUAGCUCCCUGACCGGGGAUCGAACCCGCACCCCCUGCCUUGGAAGGCAAUGUCUUAAACACGGGACUGCCAGGGAAGUCCCCAUUUUCACCUCUUGACAGUUCUAUGGCAGUAGCCUCCUGACUGGUUUUCUCAUUUCCACUCUUAGCCCUUCUAUCCCCAGCCUAUUCUUCACGAGGAAGCCAACGUGAUCUUUAAAAACUGUAACUCAGAUCUUUCCCCUCUCUGCUUAAAACCAUCCUGUGAUGUCUCAUCGUGCUCGAAUAAAAUCUGACCUCCUUCUAAGUCCCUACACGAUUGGUCCCUGCCUACCCAGUUCUUAUCUUGUGCCCUGUCCCUUAGUUUCCUCAUUUAUUCCUUACUGUUUGCCUUUGAUCUUUACUGAGAAGAUCUACCCUGAUCAUCUUAUUUAAAGCUACCCAGUCACUCUCUGGUUUUCUAUAUAUAUAUAUAUAUAUUUUGAACCUCAGAGGCAGAGGGUUGAGUUAAUCAUAACCCUGAGUUCAUGACCCGCACCCUCUAUUAUCGUUUGUCCUUGAAAGGCCCCUUUAUUCCUCCGCUUAAUUGUUUACACUUUUUUAUUAUCGUUAGCCACUCCUAAUCCUCUCCUUGCCAAAGUCACCUAUUCUAUUGUGUUUGAGGUGGAUUUUUUAUUUGUGUGUGUUCUUGUAAAAUGUGUAUUGUUUUAUGUGCAAAUAUUUUAAUGGUAUAGGUGAAGGCUGAUUCUAUUUCUCAUUUCAUUCAGCACUCUGUUUUAAAGAUAUUUUCAUGCCUGUGUGUGUUUACCUGCUGCUGCAUAGUCCUCCACAGUGUGCAUCUCUCCAUGGUUUACCUAAACAUCUAGACAGCUGCCAUCAGCCAUGACCUCAAACAUCACUGCAGUGAAUGUGCUUGUACGUGGAUUCUUUAAGGCCUUUGUGAAACGCUUUCUAACAUAAGGCCCAAGAAGGGAAUUGCUGGGGGGUGUGUGUGUGUAUGUAUGUGAGUGCUGCCAGUUCUUCUCCAGAACGGCAGCAUCAACCUUCACGCUCACCGGUGGUGCAUGUAGGUAAUGUGGGGACUCAGGGGUCCUGUAUUCACCUGUGGCCACCAACACUUGGCAUUAUCCAGCUUUGUAAUGUUGCCACUUUAAUGUGUGCAGAGUGAUGAUCUCAUUCUUUAUGUGGUUAACCUUCUGGGUUUCAUUGUCUUUAAAAGGCCCAUUUAUUUAUUUUUUUGUCCAUGUUUCUACUAGGAUUCCUUCUCUUUCUUGUUGACUUGUAGGAGUUUCACGUAUAUUCUUAAUAUUUGAACUUCGUCAGUGUUAAAUGUUGCAAAAACCUCCUCCCCAUCUGUCCUCUCUUUUUUUAAUUUUUUGGCUGUGCCACACCGCAUGUGUAGUUCUCCAACCAGGGACUGAACCAGCGCCCCCUGCGUUGGAAGCUCAGAGUCUUAACACCUGGCCCGCCAGGGAAGUCCCUGGCUUCUGUCUUUUAAUUUUGUUUUUUUCCCUUCCGCACUGUGAGGCUUGCAGGAUCUUAAUUCCCUGACCAGUGAUUGAACCCUGGACCUGGCAGUGAAAGCACCAAAUCCUAACCACUGGACCACCAGGGAACUGCCCUUUGUCUUUUAAAUCUGUCCAUUGUGUCCUUCAAUAAGCAGAAGUCCUUUUGAUAUAAUCAAAUUGAUAUAGUUGCUGUAUUUCUCUCUUCCUCUUCCUCCCCAUCCCCUUUCCCUCCCUGUCAUUUCCCCCAUCUCUGCUCCCCUCCAUCUCCAUCUCCAUCUCCCUUUCCAUCUCCAUCUGCAUCUCUAUCUCCACCUCUAUCUGUCUGUCUCCAAGGCCUGUCUCCAAUUCUGUUUGUGUCUUCUUGCACCAAGAAAGCCAUAGACAUUCCAUGGCUUUUUUGUAUGUCUUAAUGGAUGGUAGAGUGGGACUCUCCUCUUUGCUUUUCUGUUUCAGAAUUGACUAGCAAUUGUGGUCUUUUUUCUUCUAUAUAAAUUUUAGAAUAAGUUUUUGGAGUUCCUAAAAAUGAUCUAAUUGAAAUUCUGAUUAAAUUCUGUUGAAUUUCUAUAAAUUUCUAAAAGUUAACUUGGGGAGGGUGGACAUCUUUAUUAUAUCAUGUUAUUCUAAACAAGGGUGUAGAAUGUCUCUCCAUUUACUAAGAUAAUCUUUAUGAUCUUAAAAAAGUUUCAAGACUUUUGUCCAUGGAAAUCUUGGGAGUCCUUUGUUAAUUUCCUGAUAAUAUCUAGCUUUUGGUGUUAUUCUGAAUGGUGUCUUCAUUUUAAAAGAUUUUCUAGGUUAUUUUCUGGAUUAUUUCUCCCUAUUAUUGCUUCUAGAUUAUUGUUAUUGACAUUUUGGUAAUUUGAUUUUGUAUCUAGUAUCCUGCUGAACUCUUUUAUUAGAUUUAAUUGUUUAUUGAUUUUAUUGGUUUAUCUAGGUAGAAGAUCAUAGUCUCUCUAAAUAAUGACGUUUUAAAUGCUUCUCUUUUAAAUUUCUUAUUUCUUUUUCUUUCCCAGCAGAGCAGUGUUCCUAGGACCCUCAGUAUUGUGUUAAACAGCUGACUCUGAGGUCAAAGAGAAUGCAUAUGACUUUCUUCAUUAUGUAUAGUGUUUGCUCAGGUGCUUUGCUUACCUCUCUGGGCUCCCAAUUUCCCUUAGAUGGUUGGCCUAGUUUUCCCUUACUCUUAUUCCAGCUCUUUGGUGGAUAUUUAAAAAUACUUAGUAGCUUGGUUAUACUUGGUCCACAGCACUUUUAUAUACAUUUUAGAAUUUGCUUGCCAGUUUCUUGAAAAUACCCAUCGGGAUCUUGAUCAGAAUUGCAUUGAAUUUAUAAAUCAAGGGUAUUUAAAAAUACUUUAUACUUUUUUGGGGUUAUUGUCAAUGUUAUUUUGUUAUUUUAAUGGAAAUAGAAGUCCUUUUUUAUUUCUAAUAGAUUUCCGGAAGUUCUUUAUAAAUGCUGCAUACAAAUCUUUCUAAAUACUUUCUUUUUUCUCCUUUCACUUUAUUUAUAGUGAAACAAAUGGCCAGAGUUAAAAAAAAAAAUCUAAUGUAGAAAAAUUUAUGUGUUAUUUUUCUGGUUAGCAUUUUUUAUGUCUUCAGAAACCCUCCCCUCUUCAUCAGAAAUUAAUUUUUCUUUAUGGUGGAAAUAUGGAUUGCAUUUUAUUUAUUUCCCAUAUGGGUGAAUGGUCCUGGUACUAUUUGUUAAAUAGACGAUGUUUUAUUCAAUCAUUUGCAGUGCUUCCUCUGCAAGUUUUUCUUGUGUGUGGGUCGGUUUUGGGGCUUGCUAUUCUUUUCCAUUGAACAAUUUGUUCUUUCCUGCUCCAGCAUCCACUCUCUCAAUUACUACAAUUUUAUAACAAGGGUUUAUAAUAUGUCUUGACUUCUGGUAGGGCAAGUCCUUCCACUCUGUCCUUUUUAAAAAAGUACCUUGGUUAUACUUGGUCCACAGCACUUUUAUAUACAUUUUAGAAUUUACUUGCCAGUUUCUUGAAAAUAUCCAUCAGGAUUUUGAUCAGAAUUGCAUUGAAUUUAUAAAUCAAUAUUGGAAUCACUAACACUUUAAUAUCAUCUUAUGUCAAUUGUGAGUUGACAUGAGAUUUCCUAUCCAUGCACAUAAUACAUUUGUUUACAUUUUCUUUAAUACCUUUUAAUAGAAUUAAAAAAUUUACUUGAUAUAGGAAUUAAAAAAACUCUAAUUUUUAGAAGAGUAGAGAAUGCAGUUGAUCUUUUAUUUAUUGACCUUGUAUCCAGUCACCUUGCCAAACUUUACUGUUUCUAAUAAUUUUUGAUUUUUAUAUAGAUUUUUAAAAUUAAUUUUUAUUGGAGUGUAGUCGAUUUACAAUGCUGUAUUAGUUUCAGGUGUACAGCAAAGUGAAUCAAUUAUACAUAUACUUUUAUCCACUCUUUUUUAGAUUCUUUUCCCAUAUGGGUCAUUAUAGAGUACUGAGUAGAGUUCCCUGUGCUAUACAGUAGGUCCUUAUUAGUUAUCUAUUUUACACAUAUUUUACACAUAAAGAGGUUAUAUCCUCUUUAAAUAGUGAUAGUUUUGAUUUUUCCUUUCCAGUCAUAGUUCUGUUAUUUGUUAUUCUUAUCCUAGGCACUGACCACACUCUCCAGGAUAAUGUUGAAUAGAGGAGGAAACAGCAGGCACAUUGGUCUUAUUCCCAAGUUUAAAUAGAAUGCUUCUAAUGUUUCACCAUUAAGAAUAAUAUUUGCUGUGGAUUUUUGGUAGAUGUUCCAUAUCAAGUUAAAUUUCCUUCUAUUUUUGUUUUACUAAGACUAUUUUCAAUGGAUGUUAAUUUUUAUUAAAGAUUUUUUUUGCUUUUAUUGGAUGAUAAUCUAUUAAUGUGGUGAUAUUAGUAUAUUUUCUAAUGUAAAAACCACCCUUGAUUUCCUAAGAUCAACCUUCAUAAUGUAUUAUCUUUUUUUAUACAUCACUGGAUUCAUUUUUUCUAAUAUUUUGUCUAGGAUUUUUGUAUCUACUUAUGAGUACUAUUGGCCUGUAAUUUAAUUUUACAACUAUCCUCCUUUGGUUUUGGUAUCACCCGGCCUCACAGAAUAUAUUUGACAUAAUUUCCCUUUUUCUCUUUUUUUGGGGAAGCAUUUGUAUAACAUUGGAAGAUUUGUUCCUUUAAAAUGUGGUGAAACUCACCAGUAUUAACAUCCGGGCCUGGUGUUUUCUUUGAGGCAAGAUUUUUUUUUUUCCCAAAUGUUUGCCCUUUUUUUACCAGUACACCUAUUUUGGGGGAUGAUGAUACUUUUCUUUUUCUUAUUUUAUUGUUUUUAUUUAUUGGCUGCAUUGGGUCUUUGUUGCUGCGUACAGGUUUUCUGUAGUUGUGGUAAGUGGGGGCUACUCUUCAUUGCAGUGCUCGGGCUUCUCAUUGCAGUGGCUUCUCUUGUUGUGCAUCUUGGGCUCUAGGCAUGUGGGCUCAGUAGUUGUGGUGCACGGGCUUAGUUGCUCUGAGGCAUGUGGGAUCUUCCCAGACCAGAGAUCGAACCUAUGUCCCCUGCAUUGGCAGGUGGAUUCUUAAUCACUGUACCACCAGGGAAGCCCGAGGCAAGAUUUUAAAAUUUACUAUUCAGAAUUUUUAUUUAUUCUAGAAUUAGUUUUCCUAUAUUUUCUUUUUUUAGGAAUUUGUCAAUUUCAUCUAAAUUUAAAAUUUAUCAGUAUAAACUUUUUAUAGUUUUUUUGCAUCUUUAAUUAAUUAAAAAUUUGCAUCUUAAUUACUGUAGAUUUAUAAUUCAGUUUUUUUAUUCCUAAUAUUUAUUCAUGUCCAGUCUUUUUUUUUUUUUGAUUAUUAUUACUAGGCAUUUGUCCAUUUCAUUGAUAUUUUCAAAGAUUGACUUUUUGUUUUGUUGACCCUCUUUUUAUACAUUUGUUUUCUAUUUAAACUGUUUCUGGUACUAUUGUUGUUAUUUGUGUUUUAUAGGUAAGAUGACUGAGCAUUUGGGCUAGUUACCUUUUAUACCAGAGCCAUAUCCUUUUUUUGUUGUUGUUGCCAGGCACUGCAGCUUGUGGGAUCUUAGCUCCCCAACCAGGGAUUAAACCCAGGCCCUGGCAGUGAAAGCACCAAGUCUUAACCAUUGGACCACCAAGGAAUUCUGAGCCACAUUCUUAACCGUUGUAAUGUUUUUGUUCUUAAAGUCUAUUUUGACUUCUAUAUCUAUCUAACUUUCUUUUAGUUAAUAUUUGCCCAGUAUAACCUUUUCUCUUUCUCCACAUUUAAGAUUUUCAUGGUCUAACAUUUUGUUUGGAUCUCUUGUAAACCGCAUGAACUAGACUUAAAUAAAAUCAGCUUGGACUAUCUCUGCUUCUUAACUGCUUCUGGCUCUAGAACCUCAUUGUUCCAUUCCGGGACUCCUCCCUGACACCCCCACUCACCGCAUUACCGUGGCGUACAGCUCCCCUGCGUACAUUGAGAGGCAGUUCAAGGAGCCACACAAACAGCCUUUUCCUAACGCGGCCAUUGCCACAUGGAGGAAUAUCUGAUCUGGAAGGAAAAGAGGCAGUGAUAAGAUGCUGCGAAAGGUUUGGAGGAGCCUUGGGUUUUUCAUACCCUUCCAGGUUGCUGUCUUGGGCCAGAUUGGGAACUGGGCUUGGGAAAGGACCAGGACAGGAGCAGGAAUGGGGCACAUACUCACCCGGGGGUAUCAUUGCACAAGUCAGAAUGAGGAUCCCUGACAGCAGCAAGGAGCCCAUUUGGGUAUGCCUGCGGCCAAGGGAUUUGGUGGCCAAAAAGCCCAGGAAAUAAAAUGGUAGGUCCGGAAUUGUGAAGAGCACCUGGGUCAGGUAGAUGUUGAUCUCAAAACUUUGCAGACUCAUGAUCAAGCCGUAUAAGCUGAAAAGGUGUACAAACCUGGGGCAGAAGCAGAGGGGAUAUGCUUUGGGUAAUAGCCAUGCUACGUCUAUAUAGCAAUUGCAGUAGGCAAACUGCUAUCACAUCUGUUCUUUCCUUUAGGCCUUAAUAUCACACCUGUGAAUGGGGUUUUUGUAAUUUGAAUGUGGAUAAGAAAGUCUUCCUUUAAUUCUAAAAAACAGAAUGUUAUCUAUCAUACAUUUAAAAAUCACCUAGGAGAAAAUAAUGUUUUUACCUGGCAAUAGGUCCUCCUCCCCUCUUUCCGAUUCCCUGCCCUAAGGGACCUGCUUUUGAUAGGUGCAUACUUUGAUUUGUUGAUUGCGCUGGGAGAGGCUGUUUUGGAGAGACCCCUCCUCAUAGGGAUACUUAAGUAAAAAUUGAUGAAUUAUAAGAAAGAAGGAUUCACUUAAUGUCAGGAGUUUUGCUUUGCUGAGUGAUGUAUGCAGAGUUACAGCCAGAGAUGAAUUCUUAGGAGGAGAUUCUAGUGGUUAUGUGGAGGAAAUGUUAGGAGAGAGAAAGAGGAGGAGAAUAAGUGACUGUUAGCCAAGAAUGGAUUUGAGGGAGAACAGAAAUGCCUAUUAAGUGUUUUGGCUGUGUAGUAUGUGAUAUAAGCCUCUCUUCCAUCUCCUAUGGAGUCUCCAUGAAAUCAACAAUGUUUAGUGACACUUUGGGGGCAGCCUUGCUCCUUAGAUAUGUGCCUAAGUGCAGUGUCCUGCCUCAAAGUUGGUAAAGGGCACAGUGAGAAGCUGUCCAUAGAAGACAAUCUUAUAUGAGCCACACUGUAAUUAAGAAUUAAACAGAAAAGUAUUGGCACCAGAAUAGAUAGACAAGUCAAUGGAACUGAUUAGUCCAUAAAGAGUAUAAGAUAAGGGUGCCAGUCAGGAAAGGUUAGCUUACUCAUUAAAUUAACUAACCUAAGAAAAAAUAUAGAAUCCUACUCCCUACCGUAUGUUCAACCAAAUUUCAGAUGGAUUAUGAUAAAAUAUAAAAGCCCAAACAAAUACAAACAUGUUUGAAGAAAAUCUAGGUGAAUAGUUUUAUACUCAGGAAGAGGGUAACCUAAAUGAAUUAAAAAAAAUAGAUAGAUGUGAUUAUAUAAAGCAAUAAAAUCUCAUUUUUAAAAAGUGAUAAAUUUCAAGGACAGAUUUUAAAAUGCAAAUGCAAAAAUACUGAUUUUAUGUGGUAACAGGCUAGUGUCUUUAAUGUGAAAGAGGGUUCUUAACAAGUCAACAAAAAGAAAAGAUGGGCAAGGGAUGUGAACAGGAAGUUUACAAGAAAGAGAAAUUAUAAACAGAUCAAAAUUAUAAGAAGAGGACUUCCUAGGUGGUGCAGUGGUUAAGAAUCCGCCUGCCAAUGCAGAGGACAUGGGUUCGAACCCUGCUCUGGGAAGAUUCCACGUGGCGUGGAGCAACAAAGCCCGUGUGCCACAACUAUUGAGCCUGUGCUCUAGAGCCCAUGAGCCACAACUAUUGACCAUGUGCCACAACUAUUGAAGCCCAUGCGCCUAGAGCCUGUGCUCCGCAACAAGAAAAGCCAUGGCAAUGAGGAGCACUCGUACCACAAGGAAGAGUAGCCCCUGCUAACAUCAACUAGAGAAAGUCCGUGUGCAGCAAUGAAGACCCAAUGCAGCCAAUAAAAUAAAUAAAUAAAUAAAUAAAUAAAUAAAUAAAUAAAUAAAUAAAUAAAAUUAUAAGAAGAAAGUGUUCAACUUCCUCCAGAAUAAAAUAAAUAUGAAUUAAAACAACAUGAUACUUUUUCUGUUUCUCAGAGCAAUAGUAUUUGGUGUUGAUGAGGGUAUCUUACACACUUUUAAUUCUAAAAAACAGAAUGUUAUUUAUCAUACUGUAGAGUAGGUAGCAAUAUCUGUGAAAAGCCUUACAUAGUUCAUACCUUUGGCCCAGUAAAUACACUUUUUUUUUUUUUUUGGCUGUGCCACAUGCGGAAUCUUAGUUCCCCAACCAGGUAUCAAACCCGUGCCCCCUGCAGUGGAAGUGUGGAGUCUUACCCGCUGGACGGCCAGGGAAGUCCCUCAUACCAUUGCAUGGAGACGACCUGGACUGGAAACAGGUGGGAUCACUGUCCCGAUGCCUUCCAUGAAUUGGCUUGAGUUGCUGGUCACUGACAGCCUGCUGCCUUCAAAGCUCUCCCAGCCUCUCGUCACAGCCAGAGAGAAUGGAACCCACUUGGAGGGAGUGCAUCAGCGAGAAUACAGGGUCAAUCAUCAGUAGAAUAAGAAUACAGACUUCUUCAGAGGAAUGUGAGAGCCCGUGCUACAGACCUCUUAUGUCCAGAAGCUCAGGGCUUCUGGGGUGGCUUCUUCUUUUCUGUCAAGGUGUCCUGGCAACCUAACAGAUGCUUGUGAGGCCGCCCACCUGUGACCGUGAAGUAGAUGCUGAGCUAGGAGACUUCCCAAACGCGGUCAGGCUUGGGUGGAUCAGUCCUUUGUCCCUCCCUGGAUCCUCAGGCAUGCCAAUCUUCCCUCUACGUCCAGCCUAUGUCUUUGCUCCUUGAUCCAGCCUUGUUCACCACUGACCUGUCUGCCAUGGUCCCAAACAUCAAGUUUCCGACCACUAUCCCUGCCAUGAUGAUGGACUGACUCAACUGUGGCAAGGUCUUGUGUGCACACACGAGGUCCCACUGUGAAGAAGGAAGAACUGGGGUCAAGGAGAGCUGGGCUGGCCCCACAAAGCCCACUCCCUCUCUCCUGGUGCGCUGAGAGUCUUGGAUUAGGACCAGCAUGUAAGGAGGGCCUGCCUCCCAGAGUCACACAAUCUUUCUCACCAUCUUCUCCUGGGCUCUUUAACCUAUCCCUCCCUGGAUGCAGCUGAAGAAAACUGACACUGGAGUUGGACAGACCUAAUCAGGAAAAAAAAAGGAAAGAGGGCUGGGAUGACCAGGACAAUUAGGAAAUGCUCCCUAAGACAUACCGCUUGGUUUAAAGAUGGAAUUUAGAUUUGGCGGCAGCUUCUAACUUGUGCUUUGGAGAUCAAGGAGGGGGACUUUAAUCAACUGCCUCGGAAAUGUGUCUUCUUGGCUCCUUACCUUGUCCCAGCUGGUGGCCCAAAUCUUCUCCUCAGGUCAGGCCGCCACCUGCCGGAGUGUCUUCAGGGCCUUGGAGGACUUUCCAGACAGGACCAUCCAGCGUAUGGACUCUGGCAGCCACCUGAGGGCCAGAAUCAAGUCACAGUGGCUCCCCGCCCCCAAACCCAAUGCCAGAAGCUCUCUUGAGAGGCUGGAAAAAGAUCAAGAGCCAGACUUGUUCCAAGUCACACAAUGAAGGGGCCUGCAGACCAUCUGCUCUUAUUUUGCCUCCUGACUCUUGGCUCCCAUCCUAGGCUGUGGACGUGCCCAGCUCCACUCUGGACCCUCUGACCAUCUCUCCCACUGCAAGAUUGCUAGUCCCCCUGGGAGCUUGUUCUCAUUUUCAAAUGGAGGCCCCAUUCCAGUCCUAAGUCUUUUUGUGUAACAUGGAGGAUUGCUUCACCUUGGUUUCCUCAUCUGUAAAAUGGGAGUGCUAAUGCCCCCUUCACACAGAGAUGCCGUAAGGGUCAGGAUGACUUGGGUUGAUGCCCGGAACAGGGCCUUGCUCAUAGCAAGUGCUGGAUGAAGGGUGCCUCCAGGACCUCAUGUCUGCUCUUGAGCUUGUUCAUGAUUUCCUGUUCUUUGGGUCCAGCUACAGACUGGUUUCCUGUCUCCCACACGUCCUCACUGGGAGUCUUUGCCCCAGACCCCUCCAUUUUCCCAGGUUCUCAGGUUGGAGCUUUCCUUUCCUUUAUACUUCAAAUCCAGACGUCCCCAAACUGAGAAUUUUUCCUUCAAAAUGCCCCUCAGACUCAUCCCCCAGGCUCCUCCUGCCCACACAGUCACCUCCCUCUGUCUCUCAUCCCCACCCACUGGGGUCUGCCCUUCUGUAUGAUUAGGUCACAUACAGACUCUUGGUCAGGACUUUCAGCACCCCAGGCACCUUCAGAGACGUCCUGUGUCCCUCCACGUGAAGCGGAGGCCUCCCUAGCUUUCCGUGCUCGCCACAGCCUGGCCCCUCCGCCCCCCGUCCCCCCGCCCCUGAGCGCUCCCUCCCGUGGCGUGCCUCGGUGUGCGGUUCCUCCUCCCUGGGGUGCCCUUCCUGACUUUGGGACGGAGUGUCUUGGGACAGACAGAGUCAGCCAGUCGGGUCAGGCAUGGGCCCCUCCCGUUUGACCCAUGCGGCCCUAAGGAAGGGGCUGAAGAGGAGGGGGCCACAUACCAGGACAACAGGAAGAAGGCGAAGAAGGGAAUGGACACUGUUAACUGGAGCCAGCGCCACUGGGGGAUGGCAUAGGCCAGGCCGGGCAGAAUGAAUUGGCCAAUGGUGUAGAAGUAACCGAUUCCAACCGACUUGAUGGCCCGCAUCCGGGUGGACACCCACUCGACAUCUGCAGGAGGAGCCCAAGGACCGGAGUAAGACCCUACUGGGCCCUGGGCACCUCCUGAGAGGGCGCCCCAGCUCCUGUUUCCCAGUUGGCCGCUUCAUCUGACCCUGACCCUAAGGUUUCAUCACCUCCAUCUUAGAGAUGCUGUGACUGAGGCAUAAGAAGGUAGGGCUCCAAUGUAGGUCUGUCUGACUUCCAAGCCUGCACUCUUGACUGCCUUUCCAGUGGCAGGUGACGUCCCUGGCUUUACCUACUCGUGCGUGUGGACUGAAUGAGAUUGUGUACCUGGCAGGUGCCAGGCCCAGGGUAAAUCCUCAGUAUUGAAACUGCUGCUAUUAUGUUUGUUGCUGUGUUCAGAGAGGGCCUCUGGGGCCCUGCGAGGGGCAGCCCCUUGCUUGACCGAGGCUGCCUGGUGCCUGUGGCUGAGCCAAGCCCAGAUCCCCCUGUUGACUUCAGGCUGGUGCUCUCCAAACUUCUGGUCCCUGCUCCCUGUCCCUGUUGCUCACUCAGGAUUGUGGUGCCCAGGGUAAUGCCUGAGAUGCCGAAGCCACACAGGAAGCGGAAGACUGUGUAGACGGGGAAGGUGGGGCUGAAGGCUGCGCCUGAGCCGCUGGCCGCCAGCAGCAGGUAGCUGCAGGUCAGGAUGGGCUUGCGGCCAAACCUGCAGCUCGAAGAAGAAGAGGGUCGUUAGCAGCUGUGAGCUGGCCAAGGAGAGUGACUCUGCAGGCUUUGGGGCAAAGGGCUGGACCCCCCACCUCCCGAAGGGUCAGGCAGGGCGUGUAACUCCUUCCCCAGAUAGACCCUUGCUGGUAAUUGCUGUUUUUGUUGACAAGUUUGCAGUUAAUGAGUGAUCACCUCCACCCCAGCUGAGCAGGGGUCAAAGGAGCACUCCUCUCCAAGCCGUUCACCCACCCACCUCCAUGGCCACGCAGCCACCACUGUGUCUGCAAACCUUGAGGCUGUGGCCCCAGGUCUGGGGAGGCUGGAAGACUCAAGUUGUAGAGGUUUUGGGGCAGAGGGAAGGCUGUGGCCCCAAAAGGGGUUGGCUAUACAACAUCUGGUGGUCCCAAGACCCCAGGUCCCAUCUCUCCUCACUUCCCCCCACCAUCUCUUUGCCUCUUUGGGGGUGCAUGAGUGGAAUGGAGAGGGAUGGGGGGUCUCCAUGGGUUGUGCCUCCCCUGGUGAAGUCUCAGGGUCUCACCUGUCAGAUAGGGCUCCCAGCACGAGCCCCCCAAUCAGUAUGCCUGCCAUGUAGAUAGACUGGGCCAUCUCCUUCAGUUUGUUGGAGUUGCACACCAAGUCCCACUGCGCAGGAGAGAGGGAGAGCCGCUUGGCUCAGUCCAGCCUGGCCUCUCUGCUGCACUCAGCCUGUGCCCCUACGUGUGUGCUCACACUCCCAGCACCCUGGCUUGGCUUCCCUGAGCCUGGCCCCUACUCCUGGGCACUGUUUACCCCUACAGGGCUCCUUGGGUUCCUGCCUCAUGGUUCUUAGUGACAACAUCCCUUCGGCAUGCGUGGCUUGCCAUAUGGCUCCCAAAAUCUGCUCAGCUGUCACAACCAGGUCUCUCCUCAAGCUUCUCCAGUCUCAGCUGUGUCCUGUGGCUACCUGUGCAUCUGCUUCUCAACCUCACACGUCCAAAGUUGGUCCGUCUGCCUGCACCCUCUCUCCUCCAGGGGACGUUCCUGCUGACACCUCCCUCCAUCCCACACCUUCAGUCUCUCUCUCUCUCUCUCCUGACUCCUCCCCAUCUUACAGCCUCUUUCCCUUCCACAUUUGCUCCAUUUCUCCCUUCCCUUCAAAGACUAAUCUCUUGAACAAGGAACCACCCUUGCUGUCACCCCAUCCUUAUGUCCCACUUAUUUCCCAAGUCUGCCUCCAUCACCUUGUGAAACUCUGCUCCCUGAAUCCAAUGGAACCCUCUGUUUCCAGACCUGACUUCCCUUCAGCAGCCUUUGACCCUGCUGACCUCUCCCUCCCCCUGGUCUUCCUCCUUUUCUUCCCUCCUUGGGCUCCUUUCUCUCUAUCCCUUAAAGGUUCCCCAGGGAUCUUCUUGGAUCUUCCUCUCUUUUUAUUCACUUGCCCCAGGAAAUGCCAUCUGCUUCUGUGGCUUCAAUGAUUAUUUCAUGAUGAGGACUCCAAAUCUCUCUCUUUAGCCCAACCUUUCUUCUGGCCUUGGGACCCAUCGAUUCAGCUGCCUACAUGAAAUCUCGACCUAGAGGGUGUCUUUUGAGUGUAGUGUCUCAGAGUCAAUGAGACGUGUCACCUCCUCCUUGUAAGGUCUGAAUUGCAGUGACUGGCAACCUUUUUUGACUCCUUCCUCUCCCAUGUUACAAUUACUUGAUCCUCCAGUUUCUUUUUGAUCGUUCUUUUCCCUUUCUUUCUUUCUUUCUUUCUUUCUUUCUUUCUUUCUUUCUUUCUUUCUUUCUUUCUUUCUUUCUUUCUUUCUUUCUUUCUUCUAGCCACCCUGUGUGGCAUGCAGGAUCUUAGUUCGCCGACCAGGGAUUGAACCCAUGCCCCUGCAGUGGAAGCAUUGAGUCUUAACCACUGGACCACCAGGAAAGUACCUUAAUAUUUCUUGACUCUGGAUUCUUCUAUUUCCACUACUGCUAUCUUAGUGCAGGCGUCAUCCUCUUAUGCGUGGAUUCAGAAUAACAGCCAAUAUUCAAUAGAAAUAAAAGCAAUGGGACCUAAUGAAACUUACAAGCUUUCCCACAGCAAAGGAAACCAUAAACAAAAUGAAAAGACAACCUAUGGAUUGGGAGAACAUAUUUGCAAACAAUCUGACCGACAAGGGCUUAAUUUCCAAAAUAUAUAAAGAGCUCAUACAACUUGACAACAAAAAAGCAAACAACCCAAUCAAAAAAUGGGCAGAAGACCUAAAGAAAUGUUUCUUCAAAGAAGACAUACAGAUGGCCAACAGGCACGUGAAAAGAUGCUCAACAUUGCUAAUUAUUAGAGAAAUGCAAAUAAAAACUACAAUGUGGUAUCCCCUCACAUUGGUCAGAAUGGCCAUCAUUAAAAAGUCUACAAGGGACUUUCCUGGUGGCGCAGUGGUUAAGAAUCCGCCUGCCAAUGCAGGGGACAUGGAUUCGAGCCCUGGUCCAGGAAGAUCCCACAUGCCACGGAGCAACUAAGCCCGUGUGCCACAACUACUGAGUCUGUGCUCUAGAGCCUGUGAGUCACAACUACUGAGCCCACACGCCACAACUACUGAAGUCCACAACUACUAGAACCCGUGCUCUGCAACAAGAGAAGCCACUGCAAUGAGAAGCCCACGCACCAGAACAAAGAGUAGUCCCCGCUCGCCGCAACUAGAGAAAACCCGCGCACAGCAACGAAGACCCAACACAGCAAAUAGAUAAAUAAAUAAAUUUAUAUUUAAAAAAAAGUCUACAAAUAACAAAUGCUGGAGACAAGGGAACCUUCUUAACUGUUGGUGGGAAUGUAAAUUUAUGCAGUCACUAUAGAAAACAGUAUGAAGUUUCCUCAGCAAAUUAAAAAUAGAGCUGCCAUAUGAUCCAACAAUUCCAUUUCUGGGCAUAUAUCCAGACAAAACUAUAAUUAAAAAAAGAUGCAUGCUCCCCUAUGUUCAUAGCAGCACUAUUCACAAUAGCCAAGACAUGGAAACAACCUACAUAUUCAUUGACAGAUGAAUGGAUAAAGAUGUGGUACAUAUAUACAAUGGACUACUACUCAGCCAUAAAAAAGAAUGAAAUAAUGACAUUUGCAGCAACAUGGAUGGAUCUAGAGAUUAUCAUACUAAGUGAAGUAAGUCAGAAUGAGAAAGACAAAUAUCAUAUGAUAUCACAUAGGUGGAAUCUAAAAUAUGACAAAAAUGAACUUAUCUACGAAACAGAAGCCGACUCACAGACAUAGAGAAUAAACUUGUGGUUGCCAAGGGGGAGGGGGUUAUAGAGGAAGGAUGGAUUGGGAGCUUGGGAAUAGCAGAUGCAAACUAUUAUAUAUAAGAUGGAUAAACAAUAAGGUCCUACUCUACAGCACAGGGGAUUAUAUUCAACAUCCUCUGAUAAACGAUAAUGGAAAAAAUAUGAAAAAGGAUGUAUAUGUGUAUA